AUGGACAAAGCCUCGAGCGCCGGGGCCAUCAUCGUCCUCGUCGCCUUUGUCGCCCUCAUCCCGGCCGCCAUCGCCCAAGUAUGCCCGCCGCUGCGACCAGGCGAGCAAACCCACAACAAGAGCAGCAACAUGACGAGGUUCGUGUGCAACAUCGAGGACCGCAUGGGGAACAAGAACUACGAGAUGAGCUUCGCCUGCAACAACAAAAUGUCCUUCGACCUCAACGACGGCGGCUCGACCACGUCGUUGUGCUACAACGGCGUGCUUGGCCGGGCCGCCCCUCCGCCGCCAGCCAUUGGGUGGAGCAGUCCGCAGCAGGUCAACCCGCCUAGCCCCAGGGUGAUGUGCCGGUGGACGUACGCCGGGAACAUCAUGGACGGGGUGGUGGUGUGGGACGAGGAGUGGCCGGAGGCCUGGUCGUGCAGGGAGGGGGGCGGCGGGAUGUGCAGGCUCGUGUUCGAGAACAGGGUGGUGACCCUCGUCACGGCCAAGGGGAGGAGGGUGAUGGGCGACGUCGCCAUUAAGGAGUGCAGCAAGAACUGGUUCGGGUGGCUGCCGUUCGGGCUCGGCUGCACCUACCCCACGCAUGAGCACCCAUACAUCGGCGCCAUCGUGGAGUAA
rnacentral:rRNA from 1 species